rnacentral:lncRNA from 1 species
CCACUGUAUGUCCAUAAGGAUGUACUUCAUUAGCUCUUUCAUAAAGGUACAUACGAACAAUUGCAUCUUGCUCUGCCUCUGCUCCUAAUAGUCCUGCCACAAGCUAUGAUUGAAAAAAAGAAAAUGUCACCACAUAUAUUGACCAAAUAUAUAGACUAGACACAAAAUUAUAAGAAAAAGAAAGACUUUGAAACAUGUGGUCUAAAUUAAGUAAGUAGAAAUUUCAGUGACUAUAAAUCCUUUUAUUAAGAGUAAAAUAAAAGAUUUGAAAUUAAAUUAUUACUACUAAAUAUGAAAAGAGACCAUUCUUUUGAAAAUUUAAUAAAAAGGAAAAAAACAUCACAUCAAUUGAGAUGGAGAAAGUAAGGUUUUAGAUCACACAAUCAACCUUUGAUUGAACUAAUCACAGAUCUCUCACCCUUGUUGUUUAGGUUCUAAAACUCCAUUUCUAGUUGGGGGUUUCGAUCGAUUAAAAGAAAUGUGGUGCGGAGUUAUCUAUCGAUCAGUUCAGGCAAGGGAGGGUGUUUGAGUAAAAUAGAAGAGUAGCAGAUCACAGUUGACUUAAAAGAAUGAUUGAAAUCCAUAGGUGCAAUCCGUUGUUGUGGUUGGAGCUACAAGCCUGUCUAUGGAUUCAGCAAAUGUGAAUAGCUUUGAUUCAGAUCUUAUU